rnacentral:rRNA from 1 species
GUUCCUACGGGGGGAAGCAGUGGGGAAUAUUGCACAAUGGGGGGAACCCUGAUGCAGCGACGCCGCGUGAGUGAAGAAGUAUUUCGGUAUGUAAAUCUCUCUCAGCAGGGAAGAAAAUGACGGUACCUGACUAAGAAGCCCCGGCUAACUACGUGCCAGCAGCCGCGGUAAUACGUAGGGGGCAAGCGUUAUCCGGAUUUACUGGGUGUAAAGGGAGCGUAGACGGUAGAGCAAGUCUGAAGUGAAAGCCCGCGGCC